AUUCUACAAGGAGUUGUUGAGCACCUGCUAUCUAUCUACAGAAAUCUUGAAAUGUGGAACAGGGAUGGAAAUAUAGCAUGCAAGUCAGAAUGAAUUGCCAAACAAUGACAGAAGGCUGCUCUGAAAUGAUCAAAAUUUUCUCCUGGGACCUUACACCAAAGGAAUAUAACAGGCGUUCAUUUCUAAGACAAUGCCUAG
rnacentral:antisense_RNA from 1 species